GGCGCAUGUACAAUGAAGUAUAAUUGUAACAGGCAAUAUUAAAAAAAAUAAAGAAGAUAUUUGCUGUGAAAAAAAAACAACUUGAAAACUGUUUUUUGUUUGUUUGUUAUAGGUGGUAUCUAUUGUAUAUCAGCUUUUUUGCCGUGUUUCUCGAAUGGUUGAGUAUCUUGUUGUAUAUAGCUCACCAGCUUAUCUACAUAGCUGGCGUGCGCGUUAUUGUAUCUCAUUAUUCAUGGUGUUCUUGAUGCUUUGCCAUUUUUCCUUUAGAUUCGGAUUCCUUGUUUCCUUGUUAUAAUCAUUGGUCUUAUCCUUUCGUUACAUAAGUCGUUUAAUGUUGUUGAGAGUUGAGACUGAUUUUCCCUCAGUUGAUCAAGUCUUUAAAAUCUAAAGAAAAGUUUUGUAAAAGUGCUGAUUUAAGGCUCGGUUUCUUGACGUUCCAGUUUUAUUGUUUACCUUUUAUUGUAUUGAUGUAGAUUGAUAUUUACU
rnacentral:lncRNA from 1 species